UACGAGGGGGGCGAGCGUUGUUCGGAAUUAUUGGGCGUAAAGGGUGCGUAGGCGGUUUGGUAAGUCUUGUGUGAAAUCUACAGGCUCAACUUGUAGUCUGCACGAGAAACUGCCGGGCUUGAGUAUGGGAGAGGUGAGUGGAAUUCCUGGUGUAGCGGUGAAAUGCGUAGAUAUCAGGAGGAACACCUGUGGCGAAAGCGGCUCACUGGACCAUGACUGACGCUGAUGCACGAAAGCUAGGGGAGCAAACAGG
rnacentral:rRNA from 1 species